AGAGAGAGAGAGAGAGAGAUGAGAGCGGCGAAAGUCUCAGGGAUCUUCAGAUGAUAGGGAAGAUAACCGUCUCAGAGAAACUUAUUCCCCAAGAAAAUAGAAUCUAGUGAAAAUUGACCUGUAUUUGCUCAGGUCAUUCAUCAUUGAUUCUGGUUAAGUUGCCAAUCAAAUCAUGAUGAUCCCUGGACGAGAAUUUUUUUUAAAAAGGGUGGAUCACAAAUAGAAAUAGGAGGAGGGGAGGGUGCAGAUGAAACGAUAAUAGCACUUGUAUGGAUUUUCUCGAAAUUGGCUGGAAUUUUCU
rnacentral:lncRNA from 1 species